rnacentral:rRNA from 1 species
AGUGAACGCUGGCGGUAGGCCUAACACAUGCAAGUCGAACGGCAGCACAGUAAGAGCUUGCUCUUACGGGUGGCGAGUGGCGGACGGGUGAGGAAUACAUCGGAAUCUACUUUUUCGUGGGGGAUAACGUAGGGAAACUUACGCUAAUACCGCAUACGACCUACGGGUGAAAGCAGGGGAUCUUCGGACCUUGCGCGAUUGAAUGAGCCGAUGUCGGAUUAGCUAGUUGGCGGGUUAAAGGCCCACCAAGGCGACGAUCCGUAGCUGGUCUGAGAGGAUGAUCAGCCACACUGGAACUGAGACACGCUCCACACUCCUACGGGAGGCAGCAGUGGCGAAUAUUAGACAAUAGGCGCAAGCCUAAUCCAGCCAUACCGCGUGGGUGAAGAAGGCCUUCGGGUUGUAAAGCCCUUUUGUUGGGAAAGAAAAGCAGCAGGUUAAUACCCCGCUGUUCUGACGGUACCCAAAGAAUAAGCACCGGCUAACUUCGUG